CGCGUAGGCGGUCUCGUGCGUCAGGGGUGAAAUCCCCGGGCUUAACCCGGGACGUGCCUUUGAUACGGCGAGACUUGAGUCCGGGAGAGGGGAGCAGAAUUCCCAGUGUAGCGGUGAAAUGCGUAGAUAUUGGGAGGAAUACCAGUGGCGAAGGCGGCUCCCUGGACCGGUACUGACGCUGAGGCGCGAAAGCGUGGGUAGCAAGCA
rnacentral:rRNA from 1 species